rnacentral:rRNA from 1 species
UACGUAGGGGGCAAGCGUUGUCCGGAUUUUAUGGGCGUAAAGCGCUCGCAGGUGGUUCGUUGCGUCAUGCGUGAAAGACCCCGGCUCAACUGGGGAGUGUCGUGCGAUACGGGCGAACUGGAGGCCAGUAGGGGGAUGCGGAAUUCCGGGUGUAGUGGUGGAAUGCGUAGAGAUCCGGAGGAACACCAGCGGCGAAGGCGGCAUCCUGGACUGGUCCUGACACUCAGGAGCGAAAGCGUGGGGAGCGAUCCGG